UCACAUUACAGCUCUUUAAGAUUUGUCUAGCAGGUUUCUGGUCUUUACCAGAAAGUCCCCC
ensembl:snRNA U7 U7 small nuclear RNA